rfam:Pteropus alecto contig31116, whole genome shotgun sequence.
GUCUAUGGCCAUGCUGCCCUGAACAAGCCCGAUGUCUGACCUGAGAAGCUAAGCAGGGUCGGGCCUGGUUAGUACUUGGAUGGGAGACCACCUAGGAAGACCAGGUGCUGUAGGCA